UGAAUACGAGAUGCUACGGCGUCGAAGCAGUGUAUGUCAGACUUCCAAGAAAAGCUCGCAAUGUCAUAAAUAAAGAAUGCCUGUACCAUAACCGACACAGGUGGGUAGGUAGAGUAUACUAAGGGGCGCGAGAUAACUCUCUCUAAGGAACUCGGCAAUAACUCCGUAACUUCGGGAGAAGGAGUGCCUUCUUUAAGAAGGUUGCAAUAACAAGAUCCAAGCAACUGUUUAUCAAAAACACAGGUCUCCGCUAAGUCGUAAGACGAUGUAUGGGGGCUGACGCCUGCCCAGUGCCAGAAGGUUAAAGAAGCUGGUUAGCAAUAGCGAAGCUGGUGACUGAAGCCCUGGUGAACGGCGGCCGUAACUAUAACGGUCCUAAGGUAGCGAAAUUCCUUGUCGGGUAAGUUCCGACCCGCACGAAAGGCGUAAUGAUUUGGAUACUGUCUCGGAGAGGGACUCGGUGAAAUAGACUUGUCUGUGAAGAUGCGGACUACCUGCACCAGGACAGAAAGACCCUAUGAAGCUUUACUGUAACCUGAAAUUGAAAUUGGACUUUAUUUGCGCAGUAUAGGUGGGAGGCGUUGAAAGUAAUCUUGCGGGAUUAGUGGAGCCAUCAGUGAGAUACCACUCCUAUAAUGUUAGAUUUCUAACUUUGGAUCAUGAUCUGGUCAAAGAACAGUUUCAGGCGGGCGUUUUGACAGGGGCGGUCGCCUCCCAAAUGGUGACGGAGGCGUACAAAGGUUUCCUCUGAACGGGUAGAAAUCGUAUCUAGAGUGUAAAGGCAUAAGGAAGCUUGACUGUGAGACCUACAAGUCGAGCAGGGACGAAAGUCGGUCUUAGUGAUCUGACGGUGCUGAGUGGAAAGGCCGUCACUCAACGGAUAAAAGUUACUCUAGGAUAACAGGCUGAUCUCCCCCAAGAGUUCACAUCGACGGGGAGGUUUGGCACCUCGAUGUCGGCUCAUCGCAUCCUGGGGCGGUAGUACGUCCCAAGGGUUGGGCUGUUCGCCCAUGAAAGCGGUACGCGAGCUGGGUUCAGAACGUCGUGAGACAGUUCGGUCAUAUCCGGUGUAGGCGUUAGAAUAUUGAGAGGAGCCUUCUCUAGUACGAGAGGACCGAGAAGGACAUACCUCUGGUGUACCAGUUAUCGUGCCAACGGUAAACGCUGGGUAGCUAUGUAUGGAGAGGAUAACCGCUGAAAGCAUCUAAGUGGGAAGCCCACCUCAAGAUGAGUAUUCUCAU
rnacentral:rRNA from 1 species